GAUGAAGAACGCAGCGAAAUGCGAUAAGUAGUGUGAAUUGCAGAAUUCAGUGAAUCAUCGAAUGUUUGAACGCACAUUGCGCCCCUUGGUAUUCCAUGGGGCAUGCCUGUUCGAGCGUCAUUUGUACCUUCAAGCACUGCUUGGUGUUGGGUGUUUGUCUCGCCUCUGCGUGUAGACUCGCCUCAAAACAAUUGGCAGCCGGCGUAUUGAUUUCGGAGCGCAGUACAUCUCGCGCUUUGCACUCAUAACGACGACGUCCAAAAGUACAUUUUUACACUCUUGACCUCGGAUCAGGUAGGGAUACCCGCUGAACUUAAGCAUAUCAAUAAGCGGAGGA
rnacentral:misc_RNA from 1 species